rnacentral:rRNA from 1 species
GACAGAGGAUGCAAGCGUUAUCCGGAAUGAUUGGGCGUAAAGGGCGCGUAGGCGGCUCUGCACGUUCGUUGUGAAAUCGCCCGGCUCAACUGGGCGGGGUCAGCGGAUACGGCAGAGCUUGAGCAAGCUAGGGGGCAAUGGAAUUCCCGGUGUAGUGGUGGAAUGCGUAGAUAUCAGGAGGAACACCUGUGGCGAAAGCGGCGCACUGGACCACAACUGACGCUGAGGCGCGAAAGCUAGGGGAGCAAACAGG